UACGAAGGGGACUAGCGUUGUUCGGAAUUACUGGGCGUAAAGCGCACGUAGGCGGAUUUGCAAGUCAGGGGUGAAAUCCCGGGGCUCAACCUCGGAACUGCCUUUGAUACUGCAAGUCUCGAGUCCGAUAGAGGUGGGUGGAAUUCCUAGUGUAGAGGUGAAAUUCGUAGAUAUUAGGAGGAACACCGGUGGCGAAGGCGGCCCACUGGACCGGUACUGACGCUGAGGUGCGAAAGCGUGGGGAGCAAACAGG
rnacentral:rRNA from 1 species